rnacentral:rRNA from 1 species
CCCCUAGAUGUUCUGGGCCGCACGCGCGCUACACUAAACAGUUCAACAAGUCUUAACCUUGGCCGAUAGGUCUGGGUAAUCUUUGAACGCUGUUCGUGAUUGGGAUAGACCUUUGCAAUUAUGGGUCUUCAACGAGGAAUUCCUAGUAAACGCAAGUCAUCAGCUUGCAUUGAUUACGUCCCUGCCCUUUGUACACACCGCCCGUCGCACCUACCGAUUGAAUGGUCCGGUGAAAUCUCGGGACGGCGGCUUGGUCGCUUGCGUCCGACUGCUGAAACUUGAUUAAACCAUNUNAUUUAUNGGAAGGUGAANUCGUANCA